AAUGAACGCUGGCGGCAUGCCUAACACAUGCAAGUCGAACGAAACGUUCGGGUCUAUUGGUGCACGGGUGCGUAACGCGUGGGAAGAUGCCCUUAGGUUCGGCCUAACUAUCAGAAUGGGGUGAUAAUACGGGAUAAUAUCUUCGAACCAAAGAUUUAUUGACUUUGGGUGGGCAAGCGUUGGAUUAGCUCGUUGGUAGGGUAAAAGCCUACCAAGGCGACGAUCCAUAGCUGGUUGUGGUGGAUGCUCAGCAACACUAGGACAGAGACACGUCCUAGACUCUUACCGAAGGCAGCAGGGGUGAAUAUGGGACAAUGCGCGAAAGCCUGAGCCAGCAAGACCGCGUGAGUGAUGAAUGCCUUAGGGUUGUAAAGCUCUUUUACCCGGGAUGAUAAUGACAUAACCGGGAGAAUAAGCUCCGGCUAACUCCGU
rnacentral:rRNA from 1 species